rnacentral:lncRNA from 1 species
GAGGACUAGGGCCAGUUUGGGUCGCUAGUGUAGGGGAUUACUUGGUAGGGGUUUUAUUCUUGUUAUGAUUCCGUGUUCCAUGUUUUAUUACGAAUCUGUGUGCUUUCCUCUGCUUUCCUCUGUUUUAUAUUACUUAUGGGUGCCGUAUUUAUGUUAUGUAAUCUGCUUCUGUGCUUUACUAUGUGUUUGUGUGGUAUCUCGUGCCUUGAGCUGGGGGUCUAUCGGAAACAACCUUUCUACUUCUUCAGAGGUAGAGGUAUGGACUGCGUACAUCUUACCCCCCCAGACCCCACUAGGUGGGAAUACACUGGGUU